AUUGCCCCUAGAGUCAUUGUAGAUGUGGCUGCUCUAUCACAUGUGCAUCAGUAGGUGGCAGAGAAGAGAGAGGCUAUGUCCACCCUCAGUGUUCUGACCUGUGAAUAUCUGAAUGAUUGGUGUAACAUU